CCUACCGGGAGGCUGCAGUGGGGAAUAUUGGACAAUGGGCGAAAGCCUGAUCCAGCCAUGCCGCGUGUGUGAAGAAGGCCUUCGGGUUGUAAAGCACUUUCAGUGGGGAAGAAAGCCUUGGGGCUAAUACCCUCGAGGAAGGACAUCACCCACAGAAGAAGCACCGGCUAACUCCGUGCCAGCAGCCGCGGUAAUACGGAGGGUGCGAGCGUUAAUCGGAAUUACUGGGCGUAAAGCGCGCGUAGGCGGUCUGAUAAGCCGGUUGUGAAAGCCCCGGGCUCAACCUGGGAACGGCAUCCGGAACUGUCAGGCUAGAGUGCAGGAGAGGAAGGUAGAAUUCCCGGUGUAGCGGUGAAAUGCGUAGAGAUCGGGAGGAAUACCAGUGGCGAAGGCGGCCUUCUGGACUGACACUGACGCUGAGGUGCGAAAGCGUGGGUAGCAAACAGGAUUAGAUACCCUAGUAGUC
rnacentral:rRNA from 1 species